CAGGGCCACCAUGGGGUGGAUACUCUGCAUGCAGAGCAGUGGCAGGCAGUGCGGUCAUCCAGCACAAGGUCCACACGUCCCACUGCACAGAGGAGGCUGCUGUCGCCGUCACAGAUGAGGCUCAGAGAGGGUGUCUCAUGUCCACGGUGGCUCAGUGUGGAGCAGGAACCCCUGCAGGGCCAUCUCUCUAUCACCUUGAGAAAGGAUGCCUGCCUCAGGGCACAGGGGAUAUUAUGUUACCUGGGCCCGUUUCAGUUCUUACUGAGGGUCUCAGAAAGAAUCCAGCCAUCAAGAGGUGACUGGGGCAGGCCUUUUGAAUGGGGCGUCCUGGCAUGUGCGUGUUUUGGAGCAAGUCCUCGGGCUCAUUCAUUCAAUCGUUCUGUGCAUCAGGACAAAAGGGCUUUGACCAUUGCGAUCACAUCCUCAUUGUGCCCCAGAGAGGCAGGUCCGAGGACCCGGAGCACCGCGGAGGUGACAGGGAAGGCAGAGCUGGCGCGUGCGGGGAAUGAUUGUGGCAGCGCUGUGCCAAGCCAAGGCGUGUUCCCUGUGUCGUGUCCACGGCAGGCUGACGGAAAGAACGCGGACCGCACUCCUCUGCAGAGAGAACAGAGGCAGGGAAAAGAAAAGGAAAAGGUGAGGGGACUUGCCAGCCUUCCCUGGGGUAGGAAGCGGUGGCCCCGGGACCCCAGCCAGGUGGUCUUCCAGUCUUCCCAAAUCCUGACGUCAUAG
rnacentral:lncRNA from 1 species